rnacentral:rRNA from 1 species
AUGCAACCCGUCUCCAUGUGUUCAAGCAGAGCGACCAAAGAGCAAAGUGACGAAGAGCACGCUGCAACUCACCGAGCAGAGUUUGUUACAGGACACAUGGCUUUAGCUCGCCUGUGCCUCAAGAAGGCCCUCGCCGGCCGCGCGGCAGCUAUGGCGAGGCCAGCGUCAGCCAGUUCUCACGGAGGAAUGGACCUCCGGUCCCUCUUCUCCUCCGCGGCAGCUGACAGCGCCGCGACCAGGGCUCCCCUGGAAGGAGAGACGAACGGUCGGGAGGUCGCCGUGGCAGACCGCUCCAGCUCUGCCACUGCUCGCGGCGGACGUUGGCCUUGGAGAGACCUUCGGGACUUCGUCCCGUUCCGUCUCGUCAACGGGCUGGGGAGCGCGCUGUCGCACGUCGCGGAGACCCUGAGCCGGCCGCUGGAGCGGUGGCGGCCGCUGUUCGGGAAGGUGCGGGAGGACGAGGAGCGGUACAGGCUGCGGUUCGAGGUGCCGGGGCUGGGGAAGGACGACGUGCGGGUCACGGUGGAGGACGGCGCGCUGGUCAUCCGGGGCGAGAAGAAGGUGGAGGAUGAGCACGGUGGCGACUGCGAAUGGUGGUCGGCGAGCAGCUACGGGUGCUACCACGCGAGCCUGCUGCUCCCGGAGGACGCGCGGGUGGAUGGGAUCGCGGCGGAGGUGAAGGACGGCGUGCUGUACGUGACGGUGCCGCGCGUGCCCGGGAGGGAGAGGAGCGUCACUGAGGUGAAGGUGCAGUAA